AGCGAACGCUGGCGGCAGGCCUAACACAUGCAAGUCGAACGAACCUUUCGGGGUUAGUGGCGGACGGGUGAGUAACACGUGGGAACGUGCCUUUAGGUUCGGAAUAACUCAGGGAAACUUGUGCUAAUACCGAAUGUGCCCUUCGGGGGAAAGAUUUAUCGCCUUUAGAGCGGCCCGCGUCUGAUUAGCUAGUUGGUUGAGGUAAUGGCUCACCAAGGCGACGAUCAGUAGCUGGUCUGAGAGGACGAUCAGCCACAUUGGGACUGAGACACGGCCCAAACUCCUACGGGAGGCAGCAGUGGGGAAUCUUGCGCAAUGGGCGAAAGCCUGACGCAGCCAUGCCGCGUGAAUGAUGAAGGUCUUAGGAUUGUAAAAUUCUUUCACCGGGGACGAUAAUGACGGUACCCGGAGAAGAAGCCCCGGCUAACUUCGUG
rnacentral:rRNA from 1 species